AUUAUUUUGGCAGAUUAGUGCAUUAAAUUUAGAAUUUAAUUAUGUAGAGAUACUACAAAUAAUA
rnacentral:tRNA from 1 species